ACCUGUAAGGUAUUUAAGCACUGGUUUAAAGGUGGAAAGCAGGAACCAACGGCUAAGAGUGAGAUGAGAGUAAGGGAGUAUAUGGCUUCCAGGUCUCUAACUUGGGCACUUAUUUGGAUGGGAAUAGAGGUUGAGUAUCCCUUACCUGAAAUGCUUGGAACCAGAAGUGUUUCAGAUUCCGGCUCUUUUUUUUUUUUUUUUAAUAUUUGCAUUAUCCAAAAUGCUUCAAAAUCUGAAAGAUUUUGAAUGCCAACAUGAUGCUCAAAGGAAAUGCUCACUGGAGCAUUUCAGAUUUUGGAGUUUUGGAUUAGGGAUGGUCAACUUGUACCUUCAUCUGGGAAUGCCGAUACCAUGAAAGCUGAAAAUCAGGAUGUGGGAGGUGAAGGAGGAGAGUUAGUAAGUUCUCUGUGGAUGAGGAAUUAGUCUCAAGAGAUAGGAAACUAAAGCUUGGAUAGGUUAAUAAUUUUUCCAAAGUCACAUUACUGGGAAAUAGUAAAGCGACACUGGAAUCCAGGUCCUCUGAACUUCAAAGUUAUCAGUCACCCUCUCACUCCUUUCACCACCUGUCACCUCUCACCACUCACCCCACCAGUCCUCUAGCAGACUUUUUACAUAGACUACUGCUGCGAUAAUUCCUCACAUCCCUGUAUCUCUUUGAAAUUUAGCCUUGCUGCUCCUCUUAUCAAGAAGAGCCCUCAAAUCUGGGUUUGGCCAUGCCACUUGUUUUGACCAACAAAUCAAGCAGAAGUGAUGUGCAACUUAUGAGCCUAGGGCUGAAGAGGUCUUUCAGCUUUUAUGCUUACCCUCUUGGAACUCUGAGACAAGAAGCCCAGGCUAGCCUCCUUGGGGAUAAGAGACCACAUGUAGAGAAAGGCCAAGCUGACAGCUGAAACCAACCACGAGGCAUCUGAGGGAGACACUAUUAGGCCACAAAACUCCAUCAAGUUGCCAAUGAAUUGUAACUGCACAAGAAAGGAGAAACCAGCAGAAGAACUCAACAGCUGAGCCCUGACCAAAUUGCCAACAUACAGAACUGUGAACCAAUAAAUGACUGUUGUUUUCAGCCAUUAAAUUUGAAUUCGGUUGUCAUGUAGCAAUAGGUAACUGACACAUCCCUACAUCCAAAUACAACACAUUAAGCUGUCUCUGAAGUGAGGAAGAAAGAAUCUCCUUAACACUGGCAAGGAGGAAAAAACUGUCAAAUGUUAGGGACAGUUCCAGACAUGUCCAAUUAUUAGAAACAUAGGCUCCCUUGCUCUUAGAAAUAAAAGGAAACUAUUAAAACCGCAGAGCUGAGUUUCACUGUGAGUUAAAUACGUCAUUGUGGGUCAGCUGGAAACUCACCAUCCUUUACUAUUGGUUCUAGCGGAAAAUUUUC
rnacentral:lncRNA from 10 species